rnacentral:rRNA from 13 species
AUAGAAGCAACCUCUGAGGCGCGCCUGGGUUAAGUUCCCUGGAAGGGGACGUCAGAGAGGGUGAGAACCCCGUCAUCUAUGGCUGCCGCCUCUUCACGAGAUGCUUUCGCAGAGUCGGGUUGGUUGAGAAUCCAGCCCUAAUUGGGAGGUACAUCCCUUCUAAGGCUAAAUACCGGUAAGAGACCGAUAGCGAACAAGUAC